rnacentral:rRNA from 1 species
UGGGGAAUAUUGCGCAAUGGGCGAAAGCCUGACGCAGCGACGCCGCGUGAGGGAUGAAGGUUUUCGGAUCGUAAACCUCUGUCAGAAGGGAAGAAACCGCACUGUGCUAAUCAGCAGUGCCUUGACGGUACCUUCAAAGGAAGCACCGGCUAACUCCGUGCCAGCAGCCGCGGUAAUACGGAGGGUGCAAGCGUUAAUCGGAAUUACUGGGCGUAAAGCGCACGUAGGCUGCUUUGUAAGUCAGGGGUGAAAUCCUACGGCUCAACCGUGGAACUGCCUUUGAUACUGCUUAGCUUGAAUCCGGGAGAGGGUGGCGGAAUUCCAGGUGUAGGAGUGAAAUCCGUAGAUAUCUGGAGGAACAUCAGUGGCGAAGGCGGCCACCUGGACCGGUAUUGACGCUGAGGUGCGAAAGGGUGGGGAGCAAACAGG